rnacentral:lncRNA from 1 species
CACCAGGAGACGAUGGAAGGUCUAUAGUGUUACAGCUCUGACCCAGGAAGUCCCAGGGUCUUGCCUUCCAGAAGGGUCGCGGCUCUUCCCUCCCUCAGUCCAACGAACAGGAGCACGUCACCUCCCGCAGCUCGGGGAGCUGGCCAGGAACGUGUUACAGCCCGUUUCGCUCCUGUCCGCAGCUGGGUGAGGCAGCCAGGAAAAUAUUACAGCUCUUCUCACGCCCGCCAUUCAGCAGGUCCUGACUUCUUGUGUGACAUCCAGAAGAAAGGGGUUACACAGACAGCUGGAGGGUGAGCAAAGUGGAGAAGUUCUCAGCAGAGAGGAGACUGGAGUGAGUUGCCCCUACCCGCAGGUGCCAACUGUAAUACAUCAGUAGCUGAACAGCUCAUUGCCCUCAAGUGUUCUUGCUCAUGCCUGGCUGAGUUAUUGAAGAAAUUGCUCAGAUCUCAAGCCCUUGUAGAUCACUGGUCCUGGCAGAUGUUAUACGUGAACAGAAAAGCCUGAACUAGGGAACUGACCAUGAAACUAAAAAGGAGAAAGCAUAUGCAAGUGGACACAAUAUUAUACACCCGUGAUAUUGAUGGCAGUGGCUGCUGCUGUCGUGGCUGCUGCUAUCACGCCUGCUGCAACACAGAGGUGCGACUGGGGCUGCACAUUUCACGGAGGUGUUGGGAGUUCCGCCCCUUCUGAUGUGGGGAAAGAGAUCCCCAGGUGCCCCUGCAUCUGCCCAAACUGUGGCUGUGGAUCGGAGGCUCCAGGUUGGCAGGUUGGGAGCUUCCGGGUGCAGCUGCGACCGCCCUCCCAGGUGCAGGACCCUGGUGUUUCUGCAGCCUGCACCCUUGGGGGCCCCAGGAAAGACCCAUAUCCUUGCAGGCUUGGAGGUGUUUGCUUCUUCUGCCUGGCCUCUCUCGGCUCCCGGUGCAUGCUCUCAUAUCUGAGUGGGGGUUGGUGCUGAGCCCCGGGGCCGUGAAUUGCAGCAGGAGGCAGAUUUAUUCCUGGGCAGAAGGUGGCAGAUCCCAAGUAAGGGGACCUUCAAGCCAGGGAGGGCCUGAAGGCUGGUGGCUGGGCUACCAGUCCCACCGACCAGAGUGGGGAUUCGUGGGCCUCUUCUGGGCCACCCAUAGCCACCCAUGGACCAAUCAGCAAGCACAUCCUCCCCUCUGAGGUCCGUAAAAGCCCUGGGCGCAGCCUGAGCAGGGCAGAGGAAGGCCAGAGGUGAAGGAGUCAGAGAGGCGACAGGAUAGGCAGCUGCCGAGAGAAGUACGCCUCUCUGCUGAGACCUGGAGAUGACGGGAAGGCCAGAUGCAGAGAGGAGCUACCCUCUCUGCUUAGAGCUGCCAGGAGGAGCUACCAACCUUCUCUGCUGAGAGCUGCAGAGAUGACCUGCUGGCAGAGAGGAGCUACCCACUGCGGGUCUCCUCUGAUCUGUUGUAAUGCUGAAUAAAGCUUCUUUUCAUCUUGUUCACCUUCCACUUGUCUGCAUACCUCAUUCUACCCGGACGCAAGCAAGAACUCGAGCAAAGGCACAACCAGCCACAGAGGUUUCUGGCCAGAAAAUCGACACCCCAAAAGUCCUAUAACAAUCUGAUUCUAAAAGCAACAUCAUCUUUUCAAUGUAAUUCUAAAAGAAUUUGGGAUUAUUUUAUUUAAUUUCAGGAUCCCCUCUGAAGAAAAUCAACUUACAAAGGAUGGCAGGUCUUAAGAAAGGUACUUAGCAAGUGCUGGUACAUUCUAAGCAAUCAAUAUUUGUCAAUGUUCAGUAAUUGUACAAUUGUACUAGAGAAAACAAUUCCAGGGGCUUAAAAUUAUCUUAUACAAGGAUCCACUUUAUUAUUAUUUUUUCUGUUUGUUUUGGAUAAAUUACUGACUCCUUAUCUCAGUUAUGUUAUGUGUUAAAUGUUUACAGUGUUAUUUUGUAUCUCUCAAGGGCUUUUGUUAGA